UACGAAGGGGGCUAGCGUUGUUCGGAAUUACUGGGCGUAAAGCGCACGUAGGCGGAUUGUUAAGUCAGAGGUGAAAUCCCGGAGCUCAACUUCGGAACUGCCUUUGAUACUGGCAAUCUAGAGUCCGGAAGAGGUUAGUGGAAUUCCCAGUGUAGAGGUGAAAUGCGUAGAUAUCAGGAGGAACACCGGUGGUGUAGACGGCUUUCUGGACAAUCACUGACGCUGAGGUACGAAAGCGUGGGUAGCAAACAGG
rnacentral:rRNA from 1 species